rnacentral:rRNA from 1 species
UACGUAGGGGGCUAGCGUUGUCCGGAUUUAUUGGGCGUAAAGAGCGUGUAGGCGGCCAGGUAGGUCUGCUGUGAAAACUCGAGGCUCAACCUCGAGACGUCGGCGGAAACCAUCUGGCUAGAGUCCGGAAGAGGAGAGUGGAAUUCCAGGUGUAGCGGUGAAAUGCGUAGAUAUCUGGAGGAACACCGGUGGCGAAGGCGGCAUCCUGGACCGACACUGACGCUGAGGAGCGAAAGCCAGGGGAGCAAACGGG